GUCCGCGCGCGCGGGGCGGCCGCGGCGGUGAGCCUGCGCGUCAGGGCCGCCGGCCUCUCCUUGGCUGUUGGAGGUGAUAGGGGUCGAGGGGAGGGAAAAAGGGGCUGGCGUCAGCCGCCCCUGUGAGGUGGCCGUAGCGUGGACGAGUAAGAAGGGUUGAGUAAAGUGGACAAACACCUGGUUAGGAGAAGAGGGCAGGCCCGCAGCCGCCCUCCGGAGGAGGACUCGGGGCCUCGCGGGCGCCGGAGGAGGUUCCUGGGCCUCGGAGGGCCGCCCCGGCGCGCCGCCCCGGCGCGAGCGGGCGCGGGCGGGGGAGGGGAAGUGAGAGGUUGUUUAUGACCGGGGACUAAUCUCCUCCGCGAGUCCCAGCGCUCCCUCUGGGGAGUGCGGUUGAGGGGCUGUCCUCGCACGGAGCCUCGCUCGGCCUCGGGGGAGCCACGAGAGGUGGGAGUUGGACCCGCAGCGGGCCAGGAGCCCUGUCAUUGGAGGACCCGCCAAAAAGGAAGCAAACCCUCUUUUUCUUUAUCCAACCCCAAAUAGCUAGGGCCUAGGGGGAAGACUCACAUAUCGAUAAAUGGUUUGUUGCCCGUUUUAUUCUCUGGGAAAUACAACUGAUCUUACCAAAGAAAUAACCUGUCUCUUGCCGUGUUUACUUAGAGCCAUAGAAUACCUGUUUCAGAGCUGAAGGGGACCUGAGCCCAUGAUAAUCCAUUACCUCGUGAGAAAGCGGAAAAACUGACUUCAGCUUGCCCAGAUGGCGCAGAGAAUGGGUUUCCCGUAACCCCGCCUGUGUCUUUCCUUCAGCCUCGUCCCAAAUGCCGUGGGAGGGAAGGCACUCUCUGUCAAGCUGCUGUCACCUUACCUGAAGUAAGGAGUCCACGCCUGCAUGUCCGAGGAAAACAGUUUUCUCAAACACAUUAGUUGAAAAACUGAAGACGCUGCCUAAAAUACAAGCUGAGUUAGAGACAGCCCUUGUAAGACUAGGCUCAAACUGUAAUACUGGCUCUUCUCAGGUCUUGAGCCUACUUGCCUUCAGAUUGGAACUUUACCAUCUGCUCUCCUGGUUCUCAGGCCUUCAGGGGAGUCUAGAACUAUGCCACUGACUCUCCUGGUCUCCAGUUUUUCAACUUCAAAUCUUGGGAUUUAGUCUCGAUGAUCAUAAAAAGAAAUGGAAACUAAGUAACAUGAAUUAACAUAGUCCAGGGUCACAAAGCAACAUGGAACAAGAACCUGGAUCUGAAUUCAGAGGCAGAAUGCUGGAAUCUAAGCCAGAAUGAGGUUACUGCCUAGGCAAAGAAGAAGACAGCUCAUCACAGGCUCAGCCAAUUCAUUGAGGCUCUUCAUGUUACUCUGGAAUCACAAAAUGUAAGAAUAAAAGGGGUAGAAAGUC
rnacentral:lncRNA from 10 species